rnacentral:sRNA from 1 species
GAAACGACUCCAGUGGCUCAAACGAUUCGACAAAAUAUUCAAGACCAAGAUAAUGCAGAGCCAGAUGAACAAUUUUUGCUCUACCGGAAUUCACAAAGAGGUACUGGCCGAAGACACUCACUUCCA